rnacentral:rRNA from 1 species
CUUCGGAUCGUAAAGCUCUGUUGUUAGGGAAGAACAAGUAUCGUUCGAAUAGGGCGGUACCUUGACGGUACCUAACCAGAAAGCCACGGCUAACUACGUGCCAGCAGCCGCGGUAAUACGUAGGUGGCAAGCGUUAUCCGGAAUUAUUGGGCGUAAAGCGCGCGCAGGCGGUCCUUUAAGUCUGAUGUGAAAGCCCACGGCUCAACCGUGGAGGGUCAUUGGAAACUGGGGGACUUGAGUGCAGAAGAGGAGAGCGGAAUUCCACGUGUAGCGGUGAAAUGCGUAGAGAUGUGGAGGAACACCAGUGGCGAAGGCGGCUCUCUGGUCUGUAACUGACGCUGAGGCGCGAAAGCGUGGGGAGCGAACAGGAUUAGAUACCCUGGUAGUCCACGCCGUAAACGAUGAGUGCUAAGUGUUAGAGGGUUUCCGCCCUUUAGUGCUGCAGCAAACGCAUUAAGCACUCCGCCUGGGGAGUACGGUCGCAAGACUGAAACUCAAAGGAAUUGACGGGGGCCCGCACAAGCGGUGGAGCAUGUGGUUUAAUUCGAAGCAACGCGAAGAACCUUACCAGGUCUUGACAUCCUCUGACACUCCUAGAGAUAGGAUUUUCCCUUCGGGGACAGAGUGACAGGUGGUGCAUGGUUGUCGUCAGCUCGUGUCGUGAGAUGUUGGGUUAAGUCCCGCAACGAGCGCAACCCUUGA